UACGGGGGGGGCAAGCGUUGUUCGGAAUUACUGGGCGUAAAGGGCUCGUAGGCGGCCAACUAAGUCAGACGUGAAAUCCCUCGGCUUAACCGGGGAACUGCAUCUGAUACUGGAUGGCUUGAGUUCGGGAGAGGGAUGCGGAAUUCCAGGUGUAGCGGUGAAAUGCGUAGAUAUCUGGAGGAACACCGGUGGCGAAGGCGGCAUCCUGGACCUACACUGACGCUGAGGAGCGAAAGCCAGGGGAGCAAACGGG
rnacentral:rRNA from 1 species